AUGAAGCAACUGGUCGAGCUCCACAAGGCGGCCGAACAGGCCAUGAAGGGCCUCCUAGUUCGGCUGUGGCCUGGAGAGGCUCUGCCUGGGAGCUAUUUCGGGCUGGUGUGGCGGCUGGUGGAGGCUUGUCCAAGGCUCGAAGUCAUCAAGCGCUCCGCCUGCAUUGAAGGUGCCCGUAGGGCCCUUGCCCGUGCUAAGGUGCACUGGGGCAAGCUGGAUGCUGAGAAGCUUGUGAAGGACGGGCCACCGCCGGGGAAAGAGCAUCGCAAGCCCGAGAAUUAUUAUAAGGAUGUUCUGAAGGGUGCCUGCCUUGUGGCGGAUGAAUGUUCUAGGGAUGUAAUUUUUGAGUGA
rnacentral:rRNA from 1 species